GACGAACGCUGGCGGCGUGCCUAAUACAUGCAAGUCGAACGCAGUGGGGACGGGUGAGUAACACGUGGGUAACCUCCCAUCAGAGGGGAUAACACUUGGAAACAGGUGCUAAACCGAUACUGAUGGAGGGCCCCGCGGUGCAUUAGCUGGGUGGUGAGGUAACGGCUCACCAAGGGCACGAUGCAUAGCCGGCCUGGAAGUGUAGUAUUGCCCACUGGGACUGAGACACGGCCCAGACUCCACCAUCACCACUACAUAUAUAAUUUUCGGCAAUGAACGAAAGUCUGACCAAGCAACGCCGCGUGAGUGAAGAAUUUUUUCGGAUCUUAAAACUCUGUUGUUAGAGAAGCGGUAUCUAGCCAGAAAGCCACGGCUAACUACGUGCCAGCAGCCGGGGUAAUAC
rnacentral:rRNA from 1 species